rnacentral:lncRNA from 1 species
AGACAGGCACUGAUAACAUACCUUCGUUUGGUUUAGUUAACUGAAGGUUUGAGAAUUUAUGAGCUAGGCACUGAUAACUGGUUGAAUUUAACAAAAAAUAAAAGCACCAAAAUCAGUCCGGCUGGCUCAGGUCGACUGGUUUGGCCAGUUUUUCGAUCCCAACACCCAACCCUAUUAAUUACCAACCAUAAAACAACAUCAACCAUGAUACAUGUA